rnacentral:tRNA from 1 species
AGCGUAGCUCAGUCGGCAGAGCAGUUGACUUGUAAUCAGCAGGUCAGGGGUUCGAGUCCCCUCGCU